rnacentral:rRNA from 1 species
GAUGAACGCUGGCGGCGUGCCUAAUACAUGCAAGUCGAACGCUGAAGGAGGAGCUUGCUCUUCUGGAUGAGUUGCGAACGGGUGAGUAACGCGUAGGUAACCUGCCUGGUAGCGGGGGAUAACUAUUGGAAACGAUAGCUAAUACCGCAUGACAACAGUUAUUGCAUGAUAACUGUUUAAAAGGGGCAACUGCUCCACUACCAGAUGGACCUGCGUUGUAUUAGCUAGUUGGUGAGGUAACGGCUCACCAAGGCGACGAUACAUAGCCGACCUGAGAGGGGGAUCGGCCAAACUGGGACGGAGACACGGCCCAGACUCCUACGGGAGGCAGCAGGAGGGAAUCUUCGGCAAUGGACGGAAGUCUGACCGAGCAACGCCGCGUGAGGGAAGAAGGGUGUCGGAUCGGAAAGCUCUGUUGUAAGAGAAGAACGAGUGUGAGAGUGGAAAGUUCACACUGUGACGGUAUCUGACCAGAAAGGGACGGCUAACUACGUG